rnacentral:circRNA from 1 species
GCAUGUCAGAGCGGGAGCGACAGGUGAUGAAGAAGCUGAAGGAGGUGGUGGACAAACAACGCGACGAGAUCCGCGCCAAGGACAGGGAGCUGGGCCUGAAAAAUGAGGACGUUGAGGCUUUACAGCAGCAGCAGACACGGCUGAUGAAGAUCAACCAUGACCUUCGGCACCGGGUCACGGUGGUGGAGGCCCAGGGGAAAGCCCUGAUCGAACAGAAGGUGGAGCUGGAGGCAGACCUGCAGACCAAGGAGCAGGAGAUGGGCAGCCUGCGAGCAGAGCUGGGGAAGUUGCGAGAGAGGCUGCAGGGGGAGCACAGCCAGAAUGGGGAGGAGGAGCCUGAG